rnacentral:lncRNA from 7 species
AGCUCAGCCCUGGGUUGCCAGUGCCUGCUUGACCCAUGUUGUAGGUGUGAUUGCUUCCUGCCCUGUCUCCCAGAUGGCCUGGCUCCUAGAGGAUGAUGCCUGUUGUUGAGAACAUGGCCAAGGCUGGGGUCACCCUUGGUGCCCAGUUCCCCAUCUCCAAGUGAGAAGCUGGCCCUUCUGUUAUCCCAACAACCUCCAUUGGAACUGGAGGUGACACAAGCUCCUCGGAAUUUUAAUAUGGGUUCUUUGAAACUCUCUGCAGGUAAGCUCUGAUGUUUAGGGCCCUCCACAGUGAACCUGAAGACAAGGAUAUCAGAAGACAAAUAGACCUCCAGGUUCCUUAGGAUGUGUCUCAAUGGGCAGGUGAGGGCAGACCCAAAUUAAUUGCACCCACACCACGUCACUCAGGUGCAAGGCACUUCUAGCCCAGAAGCUGUGUGACUCUGCAGGCAGCACUGUGCCAACAUGGGGCAAAACCUGCAGUUUGGCUCAAUACCCACCUGGCGUUGGAUGCAAACAAACCUGUGAGUCCUACACCAAGUCUACAUCUUGGCCUGCCUUCUUCAGUUCACUCCGUUGGUACAGCUGGGCUCUCAGUGAACCAGAAAGUGUGAGGUUUGCCAGAACUGAAGAGCGUGUGAAUGGGUUUGUGGAGCUACAGCAACCAAAUGGACCGUGCUGUGUGAAACCCAACAUCAUGCUCGUCCCAGCAGACUGACGGAGAUCAAAAAUUACCUUAUCACCUGGAGGUCUGCAGAGAAGCCAAGAGAUGUUGAAACCUCCACCACCUCCAACAUCAAAGGCUGCAGCAGCUUGCUGAGAACAACUUGUCUGAAAAGAUGCAGGCUGCUUUCUGCUCUGUACCUUUGUGCAGGGAGAAUUCAGAGUUCCUGGUGCAGUCCCAUCGUGCUGUGCUCGCCUCCUUUAGAGUUCACUGUAUUAAAGAUGAAGGAUUCAUGUUUGCAUGUACUCAAAUUUACAUGCUGUUUUAUGCAUCCAGAAGAGCUAACAUCCUCCCUUUUCUUUCACGUCGAAUGGAUGCUAUGGUUUUAUGUGGGGAUGAGCAACACUUAUGACAGAUAAGCUGACAAAACACAGCAAAAUCCCGGGUGUCUGCAACAUCAACAGUUAGGCUGGUGUUUCCAUGUCCCUGCUGAGGAUGGAAAAUGUUUUGCCAUCACUCUUCCUACAUACACAGUCCCAAAGUGUUCAGAAGGGCUAAAUUUCUAGUGAAAUGAUCUUCAAGUGUUGUGUUGUCAUGAUAGAGAGAAGAUGGACUCAGUUCUCAGAGACCACAGUACAAUAUGGAGCUUGUAGCUGAGCUUCAGUAGGAUGUUUUUAACAGUCUGAUAUCUGGAAAGUCUUUUUUCCUAAGUGGUCAGUUACUGCAAGCAAAAUGACCUUCUCCUCCUUUUGUCAUGAUUAAUUCCUGCAAACCACACUGUAUUUUUCUCUAUGCUUGUCUGCUAACUAUGUAGAAAGUGCUAAGCAAUCGUGCAUAAUUCAUUACUCUUAAUUAAAAUGUAAAUUUAUUGUCAGCCUUUUGGGGUAAUUAAAGCACCAUUGU